rnacentral:lncRNA from 10 species
GUGGGGGCCCAGCCCGGUCUCCUGGGGUCUCCGCUCGCCGCUACCUUCACUCGGCUCGCCCGGAUCCCGCCUCAACGCCGCCGAUCGCCGCCAUCUUGGAGAAGGAGAGAAAAGCGCGAGCGGCCAGGGAGCCUCAGUCGAGCCCAGAGCGCAGACUCGGGCUCCGGAGGGGGAAUCCCGCUCGACCAAGAGCGCCGAGCGCAUCGAAUAAAACUCGGAGCCUGCUGAGCGCGGGAGCUGGCACUUAUUUAUUGAGAAUUUGCUAUGUCCCAGCCUUGCCCUAGAAGCUUACAAACAUUAUUUCACUUAAUCCUCACUGUAUUCCUGUCGCAUUUUGCAGAAGAGAACCAGGCUGAGAGAAGUUAAGUGACGUGCCCAAGGAUACACAGCUCUCUGCAUGUGACACGCUGACUCCCCUUCUGCCAUGAUUGUAAGUUUCGUCACUAGAAGCAGAUGCCGACACUAUGCUUCAUGUACAGCCUGCAGAACUGUGAGCCAAAAUAAUAUUUAAAAAUGCGAAGAUAUUUCAAAGUACAAACAUCCAUGUACCCACCACCCAG